UACGUAGGGGGCAAGCGUUGUCCGGAUUUAUUGGGCGUAAAGAGCGUGUAGGCGGCCAGAUAGGUCUGGUGUGAAAACUCGAGGCUCAACCUCGAGAGGUCACUGGAAACCAUUUGGCUAGAGUCCGGAAGAGGAGAGUGGAAUUCCUGGUGUAGCGGUGAAAUGCGCAGAUAUCAGGAAGAACACCUAUGGCGAAGGCAGCUCGCUGGGACGGUACUGACGCUGAGGCGCGAAAGCGUGGGGAGCGAACAGG
rnacentral:rRNA from 1 species